AAGUUGACCGAAGGUUGAAAUUUUUGCACUUAUCGUUGUUUAUAUGAAAAUAUUUCAAAACUGAUAAAAGCUACAACCAUGGAUUGUUUUUAGUUGUAUUGUGCAUGAAAUUGCGCACAUUUCCAUAUAUAAAACUUUAUGUAACAGCAAAUUUAAAAUAGUGCAAACAUUAGGACAAUUGCACGAAAAAAUUUAUCGGAAGAGUUACCGCACCAACGUAAGGAAAAAGUUUUUUUCAUAAAUUCACCAUAAAUCGAAAUAGUGCUAGAGACGUCCAAUUUGUUGCAAAAUGAAGGCAAAUGAUUAAUAUUACUAGAAUAUAAGAGUUUUAGCUUACAAUUGCAUUUUUCGACCAUUUCGGUAGUCAAAGUUGACCGAAGGUUGAAAUUUUGGCACUUUGUUAUUUAUAUAAAAAUAUUUCAAAACUGAUAAAAGCUACAACCAUGAGUAUUUUUUUGUUGUUUUCUACAUGAAAUUGUGCACAUUUUCAUAGAUAGUACUCCAUGUAAUGGAUAAUUUAAAACGGUGCAAAAAUUAUGUCAAAGUGACAAAAUAAUUUUUGAGAUAUGUCUCUGAUACUUUUUAGAGCGAUAAGAAAUAAAUUCGCGCUUGCGCGCCUGCGUAACAAUUGUAAACAAAACAACACCUUGAUCUGUGAACUCCCAGCAUCCCCCAAGGCGCGUGGUUCAAAAGUUUUCGGCUGGUAGGCCUAUAAGUAUUUUUCCGCAAAUUUAAAAAAAAAAACUUGAGUCGACGUAUAAUACGUCCAAUCGGCAUAUGGGAGACAUUUUGACUCGACGUUUAAUACGUCCAAUCGGCGUAAGAGGGUUAAGAAUGGUGCCUAUCAUCAACGGAUUUCGGCCGUAUUCCUUAGCGAUCACACUCAACCGCAUGCCAGCUUCUUACUUUUUAAUGAUCUCUAUCUUUGUCUCCAUAGAAAACAUCCUUUUCUUUCCGUGAACUUCAGCAACUUUCUCGGGACCCAUGACAUGAUAUAGUACAACGAAAUCACUACACGAAUUUACGUUAACAGACUAAAUCGUAUAUGUGAACGAACGAAUUCCGCGUGCGUACACAAACGCUGGUGCGAAGCAGUGGGCGAAGGACACCUUCAUGUUAGAGCACGAUGGGAGAGAUGCUGACCAAUAAGAGAGCAGGAUCUUAUGGCGGGGGACUAGCAUCAGGGAGGAUGGUGGCGAGUCUACUCAGUUGGUGGCGCGCAAGUUUUAAAAUUGUUAUCGGUGGUCCGGGCGAAUCUCGGGACUUUACAGCAACAACCUUUCAUAACCUGAAUUAUUUUCGAUAUAGAGCCAAAAAAAUCUUCGUAUUUGCUUUUGUAACUUGAAUUUUUUGUAAGCUGGGACUUUCGUAUGUCGAGGUACCACUGUACAACACAAUGUAACCUAUAGUACAGGUAACAUAUUAUGAUAGACGAAUAAAGGCACCUUUCUGGUGUGUGUGUGUGUUGUAAUCUACUAUCUGCCGUAUGUUUAAAAAGUCACAAAAUAUAUUAUACAAAUUUUCCUUACAAGUAGCGUAUGAAAUGAGUGAAAAUUGUUGGAGAGCUAAUAGUGUGAAAGGAAAAUAUGCAUUAAUUUCAGAGCAAAAAGUUAGACUAAGUUGUCUCAAUUUGAUUUAAAUGUUUAUAUCUUUUAUUUACAAUUAUGUAGUACUUAUGUAUUUUAUCGGUGACAUGUAUAUCAGCCAGUUUACAUUGAAAAGAUAUGGUGUAACAUACUAUAUUGUAAAUGUUAUGUACAGUAGUGCUCAAAUCUCAUGCGACAUGAAAAUUUUUGUAUCGUCCAGAUUCUCCGACUCAACCAGACGUGUUAAACUUUUUUUUCUACUGUCAUACAUGUCGAAAAGGUUGCGAAUUCACAGCUAGCCAUAUUUUCCAUAUGGUUAUAUAAAUAUGAUCCCUUUCAUACAUUGGUAUAAUUCGUAAGUGUGAUAAGGUUAGUGGUGCCCCAUCAAUGAAAGCACACUUAACAUGCUUCUCGAACUGGUCAAGAUAAUUACAUCUGCAGCAUUAUGGCAGUAGAUCUAAUAAGUUUAACAGUCAUAACAUUUUCAAAGUAGGAAUAUGAAUUAAAACAAGUUUUCUUUGAAAGUUGAAGUUUUAGGUUGCGUUUAAGCUUCCUGUAUAUUGCCAAAUGUUUUAUAGACCUAAAGAAAUAAUCUAAGCCUUCUGAGAUGUAAUCUGUUACUAAUAUUUUUAUUUGUAGAAAUUACCUGUUCUUUGAGGAAUAAAAGAUGAUGAUUUAGAUUAUAUGAAGAAGAUGGCUAUUAAUCAAAAUAUAAGAGCAGAAAAGGCAGUCUGAUGAUGAGGAUGUGAAAGUUGUCAUAAAACAGAAGCGAAUUUUAGAGAAACGUCUUGUAGGAAUAAAAAGGUUGGAGGACAAAGUGAAAGAGGGGCAUCAUUUAACUAGAGAAGAAAAGAUCAAAAUCGACAGGAGACAAGAGACAGAGGUAGAGCUAGCCACAUUACUGGAGGGAACUGAUUUAGGGAAAUGAAAGAUCAAGCUAAUUGAGACUUCAUGUGAUAAAGGUCUUCAGUUGCUUUCAUUGUACACAUUCCAAAAUUUUAAUAAAUGUACACUCAGUUUUUAUUAUGUGCAAA